rnacentral:rRNA from 1 species
GACGAACGCUGGCGGCGUGCUUAACACAUGCCAGUCGAACGGAAAGGCCCUGCUUUUGUGGGGUGCUCGAGUGGCGAACGGGUGAGUAACACGUGAGUAACCUGCCCUUGACUUUGGGAUAACUUCAGGAAACUGGGCUAAUACCGGAUAGGAGCUCCUGCUGCAUGGUGGGGGUUGGAAAGUUUCGGCGGUUGGGGAUGGACUCGCGGCUUAUCAGCUUGUUGGUGGGGUAGGGGCUUACCAAGGCUUUGACGGGUAGCCGGCCUGAGAGGGCGACCGGCCACAUUGGGACUGAGAUACGGCCCAGACUCCUACGGGAGGCAGCAGUGGGGAAUAUUGCACAAUGGGCGGAAGCCUGAUGCAGCAACGCCGCGUGCGGGAUGACGGCCUUCGGGUUGUAAACCGCUUUCGCCUGUGACGAAGCGUGAGUGACGGUAAUGGGUAAAGAAGCACCGGCUAACUACGUG